UACGGAGGGUGCAAGCGUUAUCCGGAUUCACUGGGUUUAAAGGGUGCGUAGGUGGGCUAGUAAGUCCGUGGUGAAAUCUCUGAGCUUAACUCGGAAACUGCCGUGGAUACUAUUAGUCUUGAAUCUCGUGGAGGUAAGCGGAAUAUGUCAUGUAGCGGUGAAAUGCUUAGAUAUGACAUAGAACACCGAUAGCGAAGGCAGCUUGCUACACGAGUAUUGACACUGAGGCACGAAAAGCGUGGGGGAUCAAACAGG
rnacentral:rRNA from 1 species